GAUGAACGCUGGCGGCGUGCCUAAUACAUGCAAGUCGAGCGAACAGACGAGGAGCUUGCUCCUCUGACGUUAGCGGCGGACGGGUGAGUAACACGUGGAUAACCUACCUAUAAGACUGGGAUAACUUCGGGAAACCGGAGCUAAUACCGGAUAAUAUAUUGAACCGCAUGGUUCAAUAGUGAAAGACGGUUUUGCUGUCACUUAUAGAUGGAUCCGCGCCGCAUUAGCUAGUUGGUAAGGUAACGGCUUACCAAGGCAACGAUGCGUAGCCGACCUGAGAGGGUGAUCGGCCACACUGGAACUGAGACACGGUCCAGACUCCUACGGGAGGCAGCAGUAGGGAAUCUUCCGCAAAGGGCGAAAGCCUGACGGAGCAACGCCGCGUGAGUGAUGAAGGUCUUCGGAUCGUGAAACUCUGUUAUUAGGGAAGAACAAAUGUGUAAGUAACUAUGCACGUCUUGACGGUACCUAAUCAGAAAGCCACGGCUAACUACGUG
rnacentral:rRNA from 1 species